CCUACGGGCGGCAGCAGUGAGGAAUAUUGGUCAAUGGACGCAAGUCUGAACCAGCCAUGCCGCGUGCAGGAAGACGGCUCUAUGAGUUGUAAACUGCUUUUGUACGAGGGUAAACGCAGAUACGCGUAUCUGUCUGAAAGUAUCGUACGAAUAAGGAUCGGCUAACUCCGUGCCAGCAGCCGCGGUAAUACGGAGGAUUCAAGCGUUAUCCGGAUUUAUUGGGUUUAAAGGGUGCGUAGGCGGUCGGAUAAGUUAGAGGUGAAAUCCCGAGGCUCAACUUCGGAAUUGCCUCUGAUACUGUUAGGCUAGAGAGUAGUUGCGGUGGGCGGAAUGUAUGGUGUAGCGGUGAAAUGCUUAGAGAUCAUACAGAACACCGGUUGCGAAGGCAGCUUACCAAGCUACGUCUGACGUUGAGGCACGAAAGCGUGGGGAGCAAACAGGAUUAGAUACCCUGGUAGUC
rnacentral:rRNA from 1 species